GGGCUACCCGCUGAGUUUAAGCAUAUCAAUAAGCGGAGGA
rnacentral:rRNA from 2 species